rnacentral:lncRNA from 1 species
CUGGUGGUUGGCUUCUCAAGGGCUUGUCUGUGCACCAAAUUACUUCUGCUUGGUCUUCUGCUGAGCUGGGCCUGGAGUGACCGUUGAAGGACAUGGCUCUGGGACCUUGGUGUAGCCUGGCUCAGGGACCUUGGUACAACCUGGCUCAGGGACCUUGGUACAGCCUGGCUCAGGGACCUUGGUACAACCUGGCUCAGGGACCUUGGUACAGCCUGGCUCAGGGACCUUGGUACAGCCUGGCUCAUGGAAUCUUUGUGUUUCCAGGUUGUGGAACCUUUGAGUGGCAUGGCUCCUUGGUUGUGGGAACAAAUAUUUCCUGAGGUGGUGGGGUAAAGGUCUGCUUCUGCUGGUAAGAACUCAUGCUUCAAAGGAUGCUGGACCUAGAGACAAAACAGCUAAUUCAGUGCUUUGAUUAAGUAGGAAUGAAGCCCAGUUUAAUGACAAAUAUCUGUCAUUUCAUUCUCCUUCAGAACUGAGAGCCUCUCUUUUCUUUCUUUUUCCCUGAAUUUGAGAUCAUGGGAUGCUUUGGUGAUCCCCACUUAUCUUCCAGAGAAUAAGGUAAAGUUGAUUUCUUCCACAUCGUGUAAAUGGAGCCUUUCUUUAUGCUUCUUUUCUUCCUGGUACAUCUAAAAACCUACGUACAACAUGAAAACACAUACAAAUAUGCAAAUAUAUACUCUG